rnacentral:rRNA from 1 species
AGGCUUCCGUAGGUGACCUGCGGAAGGUCAUUACCUUUCAGUACGGAGUCUGUAGCUUGCUACGGUCUCCCGUCUGAAUCCCAUGUCUUUUGCGUACUUGAACGUUUCCUCGGUGGGCUUGCCUGCCGAAUGGACAACCACAAACUCUCUGUAAUGCAAUCAGCGUCAGAAAAACAUAAUAGUUACAACUUUCAACAACGGAUCUCUUGGUUCUGGCAUCGAUGAAGAACGCAGCGAAAUGCGAUAAGUAGUGUGAAUUGCAGAAUUCAGUGAAUCAUCGAAUCUUUGAACGCACAUUGCGCCCCUUGGUAUUCCAUGGGGCAUGCCUGUUCGAGCGUCAUUUGUACCCUCAAGCUCUGCUUGGUGUUGGGUGUUGUCUUGUCCUUUAGCGACUGGACUCGCCUUAAAGUUAUUGGCAGCCGGCACAUUGGCCUUGGAGCGCAGCACAUUUUGCGAUCUAAGCCGCUGUUUUGGCGUCCAUAAGCCUUUUAUAUCACUUUUGACCUCGGAUCAGGUAGGGAUAC